GCCUGAAUGAGACUUUUGAAAAUAAAAAAAAUAGAAAAAAACUAGAAAAAAACAUAGAAAAAAAUCAACGAAACCAAGGAAGGGUGGAAAAAUUAAAAGGCAUAACCUUUUCCCGCAUAGAUUGAUAAUUUUUUUUUCCUUUCUCCUUUUUCUUCUCAUUUCUUUAUCUUUUUCAAAGAUCUAUGGGAAGAAAAGUACAUAAGAGAGAUCAGAGGGAAAGAUUGAUGCUGGUAACGAUGGGGAGGAAG
rnacentral:lncRNA from 1 species